GACUAUGUGGCCUAAUGGACAAGGUGUCUGACUUCGGAUCAGAAGAUUGAGGGUUCAAAUCCCUUCAUGGUUG
rfam:Oryzias latipes DNA, scaffold1209, strain: Hd-rR.